rnacentral:tRNA from 1 species
GGUGGUAGCUUAGUGGUAGAGCACUCAUCUAGUACGUGUGAGGCCCUGGGUUUGAUCCUUAGCACCA